rnacentral:siRNA from 1 species
CUAAGGUCCGAGAGAGACCGCU